GACGAACGCUGGCGGCGUGCCUAAUACAUGCAAGUCGAACGCAGUGGGGACGGGGGAGUAACAAGUGGGUAACCUCCCAUCAGAGGGGAUAACACUUGGAAACAGGUGCUAAAACGAUACUGAUGGAUGGACCCUCGGUGCAUUAGCUAGUUGGGGAGGGAACGGCUCACAAAGGCCACGAUGCAUAGCCGACAUGAGAGGGUGGUCGGCAACACUGGUACUGAGACACGGCCCAGACGCCUACGGGAGGCAGCAGUAGGGAAUCUUCGGCAAUGGACGAAAGUCUGACCGAGCAACGCCGCGUGAGUGAAGAAGGUUUUCGGAUCGUAAACCUCUGUUGUUAGGGAGGCGGUAUCUAAACAGAAAGCCACGGCUAACUACGUGCCAGCAGCCGCGGUAAUUC
rnacentral:rRNA from 1 species